rnacentral:rRNA from 1 species
UACGUAGGGGGCGAGCGUUGUCCGGAGUUACUGGGCGUAAAGGGCAUGCAGGCGGUCGGACGCGUUUCGGGUGACAGCGGGUGGCUUAACUACCCGAGUGGUCGAAAGACGGUUUGACUUGAGGACGCGAGAGGGACACGGAAUUCCGGGUGGAGUGGUGAAAUGCGUAGAGAUCCGGAGGAACACCGAAGGCGAAGGCAGUGUCCUGGCGCGUAACUGACGCUGAGGUGCGAAGGCUAGGGGAGCAAACGGG